GUCGGAUUAGCUAGUUGGUGGGGUAAAGGCCCACCAAGGCGACGAUCCGUAGUUGGUCUGAGAGGAUGAUCAGCCACACUGGAACUGAGACACGGUCCAGACUCCUACGGGAGGCAGCAGUGGGGAAUAUUGGACAAUGGGGGCAACCCUGAUCCAGCCAUGCCGCGUGUGUGAAGAAGGCCUUCGGGUUGUAAAGCACUUUUGUACGGGAAGAAACCUUCCGGGUUAAUACCCUGGGAGACUGACGGUACCGUAAGAAUAAGCACCGGCUAACUUCGUGCCAGCAGCCGCGGUAAUACGAAGGGUGCAAGCGUUACUCGGAAUUACUGGGCGUAAAGCGUGCGUAGGUGGUUCGUUAAGUCUGCCGUGAAAGCCCCGGGCUCAACCUGGGAAUUGCGGUGGAUACUGGCGGACUAGAGUGCGGUAGAGGGUGGUGGAAUUCCCGGUGUAGCAGUGAAAUGCGUAGAGAUCGGGAGGAACAUCUGUGGCGAAGGCGGCCACCUGG
rnacentral:rRNA from 1 species